AUAUGAAAUGAGAAGAAAGAGAGACAAUCAAUCACAAACACAAGUUUUAUAGUGGUUCGGAGCUAACCCUUGCUCCUACGUCCACUCCCCAAGUCUCACUUGGGAAUUCACUAUAAUUCCCUUGGAUUACAGCCGGUUGUUUUCCAAGCUCACAACCAAACUUGUUGUUUUACGAGCGCAUAACGAACUCGGUCGGUUUUCCCAGGCUCACCGACUAGAACCACCCCCGAUUGUUUUUCCG
rnacentral:lncRNA from 1 species